GAUGAACGCUGGCGGCGUGCCUAAUACAUGCAAGUCGAGCGAACAGAUAAGGAGCUUGCUCCUUUGACGUUAGCGGCGGACGGGUGAGUAACACGUGGGUAACCUACCUAUAAGACUGGGAUAACUUCGGGAAACCGGAGCUAAUACCGGAUAACAUUUGGAACCGCAUGGUUCUAAAGUGAAAGAUGGUUUUGCUAUCACUUAUAGAUGGACCCGCGCCGUAUUAGCUAGUUGGUAAGGUAACGGCUUACCAAGGCGACGAUACGUAGCCGACCUGAGAGGGUGAUCGGCCACACUGGAACUGAGACACGGUCCAGACUCCGACGGGAGGCAGCAGUAGGGAAUCUUCCGCAAUGGGCGAAAGCCUGACGGAGCAACGCCGCGUGAGUGAUGAAGGGUUUCGGCUCGUAAAACUCUGUUAUUAGGGAAGAACAAAUGUGUAAGUAACUGUGCACGUCUUGACGGUACCUAAGCAGAAAGCCACGGCUAACUACGG
rnacentral:rRNA from 1 species